UUAAACCAUGUGUUCUAAUAGUCCGGAGUAUAAGACCUAGCAUUGUUCAAAUUCAUGAAGAAAGUCUCAAAUUCAUUAUUUUGCAUUGGUUUAUCAAUGAAAUUAAAAUAGAGGUGAGACCCCAGCAAAAUACCUUUUUGUUUCCGAGAAAAUUAUCAAUAAAUUUUGCCAUAUAUUUUAAUAGUAAAGGCACAGGGAUCCCAUUUCAAAUAAAAAGAAAAUCGACAAAACAAUUUAGUUCUCAUCGCAUUUAUAUCCUCUUGGAAGUAAGUAUUAUUAAGUGAUAUAUAAUUCGUA